UACGUAGGGUGCGAGCGUUAAUCGGAUUUACUGGGCGUAAAGCGUGCGCAGGCGGCCCGUUAAGACAGGUGUGAAAUCCCUAGGCUCAACCUAGGAAUUGCGCUUGUGACUGGCGGGCUCGAGUACGGUAGAGGGGGGUGGAAUUCCUGGUGUAGCAGUGAAAUGCGAAGAGAUCAGGAGGAACACCGAUGGCGAAGGCAGCCCCCUGGGCCUGUACUGACGCUCAUGCACGAAAGCGUGGGGAGCAAACAGG
rnacentral:rRNA from 1 species